GGGGGGGGGGGAGUGGUUCAGUGUGCAGGGAGCUUGGGAGGUGGAGGUGUUUAUACCCCUCACUCAGAGCCGUUGUUGGGUAAGGGCUGCCUGGGGCCCGAGGGAAGCAACUUCCCACGCACUUCCCUGACCUCCAUGCAGGCAGCCAAAGCAGGUUCCAGCAGCUGCGGACAGGUGCUGGCAGCGGGGGAUGGGGGUGGGGCGGGUCCUGAAGUGAUACGGGGACCUGAGGACACGUGGGCAGAGCACCGACAGCAUAUGCUAUGCCCAUGCCCUGUCUGCUGCUACUAACCACUUUAGCUGCCUGGUCCUUACCUGUGGUUUGUUACCACUACCAGUUACCAUACAUUGAUCUCAGUGACUCCUCAGCACAGCCCCAUUAUCGCCCCCACUUCAUGGGUGAAGCAACUGAAGUCAGAGACAGCAGCUGUGACCUGCUCCAGGCCCUUCCUGGCUACCAGCCCAGGUCUUACCACCCCGUUUGCUUCCUUCAGGAGCUAAGGCACCCUGUCUGGUUUGUGCACCACUCCCACACACUGCCUAGUGUAGCAUCGGCACAAAAUAGGUGCUCAAUGCAUAAAGGAUUCCAGAACAAAGGGCUCAGCCGGGGACCAUGUCUCAUGAUGCAGCACUGUGGUGAUGCCCCCUUGGUGCCAGCCCUGUGCCAGGGACUACAGGGUGCCCCUGGGGCCUGGAGCAAAUGCCUCAGGGCAACGGCAGCCCUGAGCACAGGCUUGGAGAGUGCCAGGCUGACGAGCCCCAGCUGUAUUCUGAUAGCACCCUCAUUCGCAUCUGCAGCAGCAUUUGUGAAAUUGCCCUCUAAACGAUUCCAGUCUCCUGGGAACGACAGCAGCCUAUUUGGGGAUGGUUUUCAGUGUGUCCCUCGAGUUUCCCCAGAAAGUUGUGUCACAUUCUCAGCCUGUACAUGAGUUUAACGUUAGCGUGUGGGACCAUUAGUGGUCUCUGGAACGUGCCACAAGUGGUCCCAAGAUCCUGCCUGAGAGCUCAGAGGGCUGUGGACAGCCUCAUAAGGGAAAAUAAGGCAACUGGAGGUGGAGCCCAUAUCAACUGGAUAAAGUAUUUAGACUGUACACAAGCCAACGAAAAAGCACAUUUGCCUUUGGAGGCUGUCUGAGGCCCUGCAGGGGUUGAAAGGGAAGAGCAGUGAGGAAUAUAAAAUACCCCAUUCUGUCCUGCUUGCAGUGACCAUGGUGCCCGGCUGUGCUGCCUCUUCCUGCUGCUGGAGUGGGUAGGGUCUGGGCCAGGAGGGAGAGAGAACUGUUACACUGAAGGGAACCUCAAGCUGGGGAGGGGCUGCAGCCGAGCUGCUCUUGCAGGCUCGGGAGCUCCAGGCUGGUUGCCACCUGCCCUCCCCAACUCAGACUAAAUAUCCAGCCCUGUGGGUAAGUGAGAAAUUCUUGGCCUCGGCCUGCCCGGGCCUCCCUGGCUUAAAAUCGCUUUCCUUCAUGGAACAGGGGCUGCCGUCUGCCCUUGGCCUGUUCUUCCUAUUCCUCACUCUGCGGGCUCAAGCUGAUUGGCAGACUUAUCCAAGCAUGGAGGGUAGGGGCACUGCUCUUGGGAAGCAGCCAGGAAGAGUGAGGGAGUGAGAUCCAGAGACCAAGCACAGACACGGGGUCAGAGACUGAGACAAGAGACAGGGUAAGACAGGCAGUGACAUGAAGACAAAGAGAUGGAGUGAGAGAAACAGAGAGAGACUGCAAGACAGAAAGAGAGACAGAAGCAGAGAGGGGCAGAGGAGAGGUGGGGAAAUAGACAUAUCGCAUAGGACUGCCAGAGAAAGAGAAAUGCAAAUGAAGAAGAAAAGAGGGGGCAACAGCUGAGCAGACUAACUGGGCCCUGAGCUGGGGCUCCCACAUCUGAGCGCAGCCUUGCCCAUCAGCCUUCCGCAGGGACAGGAAUGAGUUCUCCAAGGUGGGCCUUAGUGGAUGGAGCGGGGACUUCCCACAUCCCCACAUCUGCUUCCCAUCUGCAUCCCACUCAUGGUGGAUUUGCAUCCCCAGGCUUUUUCUCCAGAGCCACGAUCCAUUCAAAACAAACCUCGGCUUUUCAUUUGUAGCUGCAAAUCCAUGCAGGAGUCUGUGGCUCUCUUGAGUUGUAGGGGGCCCCGCAGGCUCUGGCAGUGCCAGUGCACAACCAGGGAAGGGGAGGAAAGGCUGGAGGAGUGGAAGAGAGAGAGAUACUGGCCCCCUGGCUCUGACCUGGAGAGGACUUGGAGUCCAUGCUGAAAGGCUUUUGGGAGGCGCCCAAGACCACCAGACCUCCCAGGCCCCUCCCCAGAGGCUGUACCUGCUGUGCUGGUGACAUGGCCAGCUGUCCUUUCCACAUCUAGGGGAGAGAUACACCAGAGCAGAGCCCUCAGACAUCAAGACUGGCCACGUCAAAGCAAGACGCACAAAGUUCUUGAUGAAUGACACUUAUAUUAAAAAAAAAAAGUGUUAGGGCUUCCCUGGUGGCGCAGUGGUUGAGAGUCCGCCUGCCGAUGCAGGGGACACGGGUUCGUGCCCCGGUCCGGGAAGAUCCCACAUGCCGCGGAGCGGCUGGGCCUGUGAGCCAUGGCCGCUGAGCCUGCGCGUCCGGAGCCUGUUGCUCCGCAACGGGAGAGGCCAC